CCAUUAGAAGAGACAAAACUCAAAACCAGCAAUGCUACUAUCAGAUAAGUAGAUAUCAAUGUAUACUUAUAAGAAAUAACUAAGAAAUGUAAUGUGUUUGUUAAUUCAGCCUUUUUCUAUGUAAUAUUUCCAAGUCAGACUUUCUUACAUUCCUAGAAUUCAGUUUGAUAUACCAAGCGUAAUAAUGAUAAAAUGUUUGCUUUGAAUACUGUGGGGGAAAAAUUAAAUGUUCAAUUCUAUUUUUUAAAAAAUCUCAGAGAUACUGGUUUCCCAUCCUUGAAGGUUAUAAAGAAUUUAGAGCUAUUAUGUCUUUAUUUUCUUAUAUUUGUUCAAGGCAACAAAUUACAUAUUCAGAUAUUUCUUUGUUGGUUUGAGUACAUUGAAAUUUGAUAGUGGUAUAUUAAAGCCUUUCCUUCCCAGUAUUUUUUAAUGCUUGAAAAUUAUUAAAUGUACACUGCUAGCAGAAAUUAGUUCUUAAACCAUUUUUUAAGAUUUAUAGGCUAGAUUAGGGGCACAUUUACAUCAACCAGUCACUAUUAGAGCUAGCAAAAGAGGCAGAUGAAUGAAUGGAUAUGGUCAUUGCACCUUCUUGUACUUUCAAAGCCUAUUCCUUAAAGUUAGUAACCAGUCUGCUGAUUACUAUAAUAUGGAAAAUUAUAAUUAAUAAUACAAAAAUUUUCUUAAUGUCUAAUACUAUUGAAUUGAUAAUGCUGUGAUUUAUAAUAGGUUAUCAAUACUUAAAAAUACAUCUGUGUCUGUGUGUGUGUGUGUGUGUGUGUGUGUGUGUGUGUGUGUGUGUUUCCCAAGCACAGAUCCAUGACUUCUAUUAGGUUUUCAAAGAAAUCUGGCAACUCUCCCUCAAAUUUAAGAAUCGCCAUUCUAGGAACACAUACACCCAGCUAUUUGAGGCAGCUAAAAUUGGCAUUGGCUGCUUCCUAUAGCAUGAUGGUUCAAUGUGUAUAGGUAAAGUAACGCAUAAAUGUUUCAAGGUUUAAAGUUGGUAAUUGAAUGACACAUAGAUUUAAGUAUAUAAUUAAGCUCUGGGGUUUUUUUGUCUCACAUUUCUAUUUAUUAUUUGACUAUUUAUCCCAUAUUAUAUUUUGAAUUCUUCCUGAGACUUCUUGAUCUUAUCUUAAUUAAGCAAGUUACUAUCAGAGAUUAGUUAACUGAAUACAACAUUAACCAUUUUUUACUUUCACAAAACCUUAACAUUUUGUUUUCAAUGAAUCACCAACUCUGUUCACUAAGAGACAGAGAUCUGGAGAGGAAAGAGGACUAGAAGUCAAAUAGAUAUUUAAGGAAAGAAUUAUAUUAAUGUUGGCAUAUAAAUCAGGUAUUUGUAAAAUCCUGCUGGAGAGAAAUAUCAAGGCAAGAAUUUCUAGAACUGUCCUAAAUCUCAUUUAUUUAAAAAAAAAAUUUUUUUAGAGCAAAAAGCAAAUCAAUUGCAUUUCACUUAACUUUCCUAUUCAGUGUAGUUAUUUAAAAACAUGUGGUGCAGUGGGUUAAGGAUGCAGCCUUGUCACUGCAGUGGCUCAGGUCACUGCUGUGGCGCUAGUUCUGUUCCUGGCCCAGGAACAUCCACAUGCCCCAGGUACAGCCUAAAUAAAUAAAUAAAUAAAUAAAAAUAUGAUGGAAAGCCUAUCGCUUUUACCUAUCACAGACUGCUUGGGCAUAAACUUAAACUAUGAUAGUAAAUUUAUCAAUAUUUGAUAAAAAGAUGGAGGCAUUAAAGAUGAUAUAUUACCUGUAUUUUAAUGAAUAAGAAAUAUGAAAUUCUUAAUCAUUUUGUCUAAAAACCUGGCUUUUAUCUUGCCAUGGGCAAACUUUCUGUGCCUCAAUUUACUCUUAAAUAUCCAAAGGAUUCUCAUUGUUAGUGCUUUACAUUUUGAAUAAAGGGCAUAGUAUAUAAGCACAGACUAUUACUGAAAUAAUCAUUAAAUAUUACACAUCUUUGAACUUAAAUGUGUAGGUUUUUUCCCCAAUGACAAUAUUUCUAAAGCCAGUUAUUUUUUAAUGCUUUCAAAGUUUAUAAAAUUAUUCUCUUUGAGUAUGGCAUCAUUUCUUCCCAAAUUGUAUUUUACAAUUGCUCUUGUGUUCUGUGGGCAAGAGGAUCAAAACCAAGAGUGUUUUGGGAGAAUAAAAGCAUUAAAAAUGAUUUUUUUUCAGUGUCUUUCAUAUACCUAAAUACUUAGAUUUUCUUUGCCUCUUCCUUCAUGGAACAAAGUACAAUGGUAUCAGGUUACUGAUAUGUAAACUUUCUUGCAUGGGUGGAAUUCAUUUACAUCUCUUAAGUACUGUCCUUUUUAGGGCUGUUUAAAUUAUUUGUUUUUUAAGUGUUAAAAUGUCAUUUGAUAAUGCACAGUUAAGUUUCUUUUUGAACGUGAUUGGAAAUGGUGAAAGAAUCAUUGGAAUCAGAGUUCUUAGGUCCUCUGGUAAUUGUCUUUUUUUUUUUUUUUUUUUUUUUUUUACUGAUGUCCAACACUUCUAAAGCUAUUGAAAAAACAUGAAAAAAAUGUGGUCACUCUUUUUGAGUGACACUUUAAAAGAAACUAAAAUUAUAAUCAAAGGGUUCUUGAACAAAAUAUAUUGCAAAAUAGAGAUAAUGGAGUCUGAGGGACAAAUUGCAGGAUCCUGGUAAGUUUAACUUAUUUUGAAGAUUUAUCUAAAUCUUAACACAUGCAUGUUCGCUUACUUAAUCCCAUUGUUUCUCCCUUUUGAAAUUAGAGUUCAAUAAAUCAUGAUGGGUAUAUGUAUAUUUACAUGAAGGAUUCCCCUUUCUGAUAUCACUUUUCUGAUUUCAAAAAAGUUUAACUUAAACAGGGUAAAAGUCUUCAACUAUUGCCUCAAGUUUAGCUUCAUCCUGUUGAACCAAGAAAGGGUGAGGUUUAGAUUUGUCUGCCUAUGAUAGCUAAUUUUUAGGGCAUGGUACUAUCCCAGAUAAGGUGUUGAAAUACCUGGGCAGAAACAUAAAGCCUAGCUUUAAACCACAGUAGACUUAAAGAACAAGAAGUUGCAUUAUUAUCUACUUCAUCUGAUAUUAAUUCUAAGAAAGAAUUCUUUCAAACUACUUAAGAAUUUGUCACCAUUAACUUUAAAAACUGUAUACCUAUGCUUACUGUAAUAGCCUACCUUGAAGGGCAGAGGUUCCUCCUAUAUUAGAAGGUGGAUAAAGAAAAAUUCUUCUGAAAAUGAUCCUGGCUUAUUUGGCUCUAGUAGUUACAACUUUAAAUAGAAAUUCAGGAAACUGAAGUGCCCAUUUAAAUUCCUAAAUCAGUGACCUGUCCAAAUGAGCAUUAUAAAUAAGAUAACUUGCAGAACAGUUCUAACCAAUUAACUGCAUUUUAAGACUAAGAUUAGCAAUUAAUCUGUCCUGUGUAUCUCUCAGUUUUGUCAGUUUUUGUUAUACCGUACUUGUAUGAAAUAAUUUUUUCCCAGGUAUAGAAGAUAUCCUAGAGCAUUACAGAUUUUUAAAGACGAGGACUUGAAAAGCUUCCAGUGGUUUCUGUUUAAAGGAUAUCUUUCUCAAUAAAAUCACAACUAUUGUUUUCACAGAUCCAAACAUCACAAGUAGGACAAUAUGAUCGGAGAUUGAUGUAUGAUUGCUACCCAACAAUCAGCAAAAGGGAUAAUCACGACUUGUGAAACUUCAGAGGUACCCUGAAAGUCAUUUCCUAAAGUUAGUGCAUGUGAGUCUUCUUCCUUGAAUUGUGCAGAAUCAAUUGGAUUGGGGAAUAGCAAGUGAAGUGGUAUGAUGAUGGCAGAGAAAGUGAUCUUGAAAUGUAACAAGAAACAAGUUUUCUUUCUCCACUUUACUGCCCUGCUAUUUGGGUCAAGAGGUUGCUAUGAUAGAUCUCCUUGUGCCAGGCCAAGAUUGGCCAACUGAAAUAGAGUUCUCAAAGAGCUGAAAUAUAUAAAUUGUGUAUGAGUGCCUAUUUUUUUCCUCCUUCUUUCCUUUACUAUCUUAAUACCCUUUCUACUUCUGAAAUAAUUCAUCUGUUUUGCUCUAUGACCAGCUUUAAUUUCAGUUUAAGAAUAACAGCAACCCUAGAAAGUGAUAGAAAAGAGCAUUGAGAUACAUUUUUUUAAUAAAGACACUAAAAGCAAUCUAGCAUAGGGUUGAACUGAAUUUCCAUCAAAGAAAGUUAUUGUUUUAUAGGCUAAUUAUGCUAAAACUAUUUGAUUCUAAAAACCAUGUCUUCAGUUUCAAAAGCUUCACUUUUGAAACUCCUUAAAAGGGAUACUCCUUAAAAAGGCAUAUUAACAUAGAUGGGAAAAUACAAAAUAUUUCUGAAAGAAUUAUUCAGUAUUAUUCAAUAUUUAAUUUUAUGUUUGUUAUUGUACCACAAGGAUAGCAUCAUUCUUGGAUUAAAAUGUUGGAUUUUUUUUUUGUUAACAUACUUAAAACUGUAACCAGUGGUAACACUCUUAGUAUUUUUUAUUAUAGAUUAUAUUUUAUUUCAAUAAAAUUUGAUAUUUAGACCAAAAAGUCUUUCUGCUAUGUAUAUUCAUCUCAUUAAGCUGCUUCUUACAAAUUUAAGAUGAGUGGGGAAAAUAAGGAAUUAACAUUGAUUCACAUUUAACUAGGAUUAACUCUUAGCAUACUUGGACCAAUUCUUGAUAAAGACAGUGUUUUUCCCUCAACAGACAGUGAACAAAGAAACAACUCUAAAUCAUACAGUAGUUUUAACUACUAAUGGUAGAGUUCUUAUAUCUGAUACUUCUCUUGGAAGAAAGUUAGAGGGACCUGAGAAGGUAACAUUUUCUCUUUACACCAAGCUAAUUCUAAUAUAAAGUUUUGCCUAACAGUUUUUGUCAGCCAAUGUCUGGCAUUGCUCUGUGAAAGCUUUCUUAGACUCCCCAGGCUUCUAAGCAGAAUUAAUCACUCUACAUAGUGUUUUGCAGACUUCUCCUCAUUAUUGUGCCUAAGCUCUAGACUAUGAGCAUUUUAAGAACAGAGAUCAUGUUUUAUUUAUCUUGAUUUUCUUGACACAUUACAUGAUAAUUGGCACUUUAAACAAAACUUCAUAUCUACAUCUGCAUAGAGGAAUUUUUUCAAAUACCUAUAUGAUGUGGUAAGUUAUUGCUUGCCUUCUCUUUAAAUAAGAAAAGUAAGCUGAGUUAUUAAAUUGGUUUUCCCCUUUAGCAUAAGUUAUGUAGGUAGAAGGAACCAAAAUCCUAACCCCUUCCCUCCUGUCCCCACACUCCACUGAUUUUCCCUAGGUAUCAUCAUGCUGCAUUCUCCUAGAACCAAUGGAAGAAAGCUUGGGUAAGAGCAGCCUCAACAAAAGUGAAGUAAGCAGCAUUGUUCUUUUGCCAUUUCAUGUCCUUUUUAUAGGGUCUCUCCUCAUUUUAUAUUAUCAUAUGACGUAUGCACUUUAUUAAUUUGUUGGAGCUGAGAUUUGAAGCCAAGCAAUCUGACUCCAAAAUCAGUGCUCACAAGUACAUCUACAAGGGGACAGAUCAGUUUAGGCCAUGUGUGUGUUCAAAUUCUGACUCUUGACUUUGUAAGUCACAUCUGUUUCAAACCCUACAGAAAUCUUCAAAAUCAGGCCUAUUAGCAUCCUUUGUACUCACUAGCCUUGGAGCAAGUUAAUUCUGCACAGCCUCUUUUCUAAUCUCUAAAAGUGAAUAAUUUCUCCUUUUUAAAAUUGCUAUAAAGAUUAAAGAUAAUAUACUGACAGUGUCAUACAUAAUAAAACAGCUGAUAGAUUAUAAGAGAUUGUGGACAACAGACUAGGAUAUACCAAACUAAGAACUUUAAAUGAGAAUAUUGAUUGAGAUUAGGAAGGCCCCUUAAACCUUAUAAAAAUAAACAUUUUUCAAUUCUCUCCAAUUAUAAGGCUGAUCCUACCAUUAGAGCUGAGAUCAACCUGGACUCAGAAUGGCCCAGAGUGAAAAACAUGGAACAAACAAAACUUUAGAACACAUAGAUAAUAUAAUCAUAAAUUCCAGGUAAGAUUCUGGAAAUGGUGGCAUAUUCUCCUUGGACUAUUUCAUUUAUUAAGGAAAACUCAGGAAACUAGACUUAAAAAGAAAGACCAGAUUUGGAUCGUCAAUGACCUAGAUUUAAAGCUGUGGCAUUAAAUUUUAAAAUUAAGUGCAGUAGACAUCAAGAGCAGGGAGUUCCCAUCGUGGCUCAGUGGUAACGAACCUGACUAGUAUCCAUGAGGAUUCGGGUUCGAUCCAGGGCCUCACUCAGUGGGUUAAGGAUCCACCAUUGUUAUGAGCUGUGGUAUAGGCUGGUAGUUCUAUCUCUGAUUUGACACCUAGCCUGGGAAAAUCCAUAUGCCAUGGGUGCGCC
rnacentral:lncRNA from 1 species